ACGUAGGUGGCAAGCGUUGUCCGGAUUUAUUGGGUUUAAAGGGUGCGUAGGCGGCUUUGUAAGUCAGUGGUGAAAUAUGGCAGCUCAACUGUCAAGGUGCCAUUGAUACCGCAGAGCUUGAGUACAGAUGAGGUAGGCGGAAUUGACGGUGUAGCGGUGAAAUGCUUAGAUAUCGUCAAGAACACCUAUAGCGAAGGCAGCUUACUAGGCUGUAACUGACGCUGAGGCACGAAAGUGUGGGGAUCAAACAGGAUUAGAUACCCUGGUAGUCCACACUGUAAACGUUGAAGACUCGCUGUGUGCGAUAUACAGUACGCGGCUUAGCGAAAGCGAUAAGUCUUCCACCUGGGGAGUACGCCGGCAACGGUG
rnacentral:rRNA from 1 species